rnacentral:rRNA from 1 species
UCCUACGGGGGGCAGCAGUAGGGAAUCUUCCACAAUGGGCGAAAGCCUGAUGGAGCAACGCCGCGUGGGUGAAGAAGGUCUUCGGAUCGUAAAACCCUGUUGUUAGAGAAGAAAGUGCGUGAGAGUAACUGUUCACGUUUCGACGGUAUCUAACCAGAAAGCCACGGCUAACUACGCGCCAGCAGCCGCGGUAAUACGUAGGUGGCAAGCGUUAUCCGGAUUUAUUGGGCGUAAAGGGAACGCAGUCGGACUUUUAAGUCUGAUGUGAAAUCCUUCGGGUUAACCGGAG